rnacentral:rRNA from 1 species
UACGUAGGGGGCAAGCGUUGUCCGGAAUCAUUGGGCGUAAAGCGCGUGUAGGCAGCUUGGCAAGUCGAAUGUGAAAGCCCCGGGCUUAACCCGGGAACUGCAUCCGAAACUGCCUCGCUAGAGUCUCGGAGAGGAAGGCAGAAUUCCCAGUGUAGGGGUGAAAUCCGUAGAUACUGGGAGGAAUACCGGCAGCGAAGGCGGCCUUCUGGACGAUGACUGACGCUGAGACGCGAAAGCGUGGGGAGCAAACAGG